rnacentral:rRNA from 1 species
AGCAGCCGCGGUAAUUCCAGCUCCAAUAGCGUAUAUUAAAGUUGUUGCAGUUAAAAAGCUCGUAGUUGAAUUUCGGGAUCAGUUGGUCGGUCGUGCCUCGGUACGUACUGGUCAAAUUGAUUCCUACCUUCUGACGAACCACGAUGUCAUUAAUUUGGUGUCGUGGGGAAUCAGGACUGUUACUUUGAAAAAAUUAGAGUGUUUAAAGCAGGCUCGCGCUUGAAUACAUUAGCAUGGAAUAAUGAAAUAGGACGUUUGAUUCUAUUUUGUUGGUUUCUAGGAUCGACGUAAUGAUUAAUAGGGAUAGUUGGGGGCAUUAGUAUUCAAUUGUCAGAGGUGAAAUUCUUGGAUUUAUUGAAGACUAACUACUGCGAAAGCAUUUGCCAAGGAUGUUUUCAUUAAUCAAGAACGAAAGUUAGGGGAUCGAAGACGAUCAGGUACCGUCGUAGUCUUAACCAUAAACUAUGCCGACUAGGGAUCGGAUGAUGUUAAUUUUUAAUGACUCAUUCGGCGCC